GAUGCCCUUAGAUGUUCUGGGCCGCACGCGCGCUACACUGAAGGAAUCAGCGUGUGUUCCCUGGCCGAAAGGCCCGGGUAACCCGCUGAACCUCCUUCGUGCUAGGGAUUGGGGCUUGCAAUUGUUCCCCAUGAACGAGGAAUUCCCAGUAAGCGCGAGUCAUAAGCUCGCGUUGAUUACGUCCCUGCCCUUUGUACACACCGCCCGUCGCUACUACCGAUUGAAUGAUUUAGUGAGGUCUUCGGACUGGUGCGCGGCAAUGCGUCGGCAUUGCCGAUGUUGCCGGGAAGAUGACCAAACUUGAUCAUUUAGAGGAAGUAAAAGUCGUAACAAGGUUUCUGUAGGUGAACCUGCGGAAAGAUCAUUA
rnacentral:ncRNA from 1 species